AGUGAACGCUGGCGGUAGGCCUAACACAUGCAAGUCGAACGGCAGCACAGGAGAGCUUGCUCUCUGGGUGGCGAGUGGCGGACGGGUGAGGAAUACAUCGGAAUCUACUCUGUCGUGGGGGAGAACGUUGGGAAACUUACGCUAAUACCGCAUACGACCUACGGGGGAAAGCAGGGGACCUUCGGGCCUUGCGCGAUUGAAUGAGCCGAUGUCGGAUUAGCUAGUUGGCGGGGUAAAGGCCCACCAAGGCGACGAUCCGUAGCUGGUCUGAGAGGAUGAUCAGCCACACUGGAACUGAGACACGGUCCAGACUCCUACGGGAGGCAGCAGUGGGGAAUAUUGGACAAUGGGCGCAAGCCUGAUCCAGCAAUACCGCGUGGGUGAAGAAGGCCUUCGGGUUGUAAAGCCCUUUUGUUGGGAAAGAAAUCCAGCUGGCUAAUACCCGGUUGGGAUGACGGUACCCAAAGAAUAAGCACCGGCUAACUUCGUGCCAGCCGCCGCAGUAA
rnacentral:rRNA from 1 species